rnacentral:tRNA from 1 species
UAUUCCUAGUAGAAACUACUCAUUAAUACUUUCAAUAUUAAACUCUAAAAUAAGCUAUAAGAAU